AACGAACGCUGGCGGCAGGCCUAACACAUGCAAGUCGAACGCACCGCAAGGUGAGUGGCGCACGGGUGAGUAACACGUGGGAAUGUACCCUUUGGUUCGGAAUAACGUUUGGAAACGAACGCUAAUACCGGAUGAGCCCUGUGGGGGAAAGAUUUAUCGCCAAAGGAGCAGCCCGCGUCUGAUUAGCUAGUUGGUGGGGUAAAGGCCUACCAAGGCGACGAUCAGUAGCUGGUCUGAGAGGAUGAUCAGCCACACUGGGACUGAGACACGGCCCAGACUCCUACGGGAGGCAGCAGUGGGGAAUAUUGGACAAUGGGCGGAAGCCUGAUCCAGCCAUGCCGCGUGAGUGAUGAAGGCCUUCGGGUUGUAAAGCUCUUUCGUCACGCGACGAUGAUGACGGUAGCGUGAGAAGAAGCCCCGGCUAACUUCGUGCCAGCAGCCGCGGU
rnacentral:rRNA from 1 species